AAAGUCCCGUCGGUGCAAUUAGACGGUUCAGCACCGCAGACCGUGCCAACUGCGUCGCCGCGAGGCGGGGUGGGGAGCAGGCAUGGAGUCGAACCGGCAGGUCGCAAUGAACACAUGAACCACAUAAAUGAGCCUCGAAAAAGUACUCCCGGCAGCCGAGCCCCUCAAUUGUGGGCGAAGGCCGCAGAACUGGAACCCGGACCAACCGUCGAGGGUUCUGGCAAUGGACCGGCGGGGUCUGCGUGGG
rfam:Chthoniobacter flavus Ellin428 ctg53, whole genome shotgun sequence.